UACGUAGGGCGCAAGCGUUGUCCGGAAUUAUUGGGCGUAAAGAGCUCGUAGGCGGUUUGUCGCGUCUGUCGUGAAAGCUUGGGGCUUAACCCCAAGUCUGCGGUGGAUACGGGCAGACUAGAGGCAGGUAGGGGAGAACGGAAUUCCCGGUGUAGCGGUGAAAUGCGCAGAUAUCGGGAGGAACACCGGUGGCGAAGGCAGUUCUCUGGGCCUGUACUGACGCUGAGGAGCGAAAGCGUGGGGAGCGAACAGG
rnacentral:rRNA from 1 species